AUUGAACGCUGGCGGCAGGCCUAACACAUGCAAGUCGAGCGAGCGGCGGACGGGUGAGUAAUGCCUGGGAAUUGCCCAGUCGAGGGGGAUAACAGUUGGAAACGACUGCUAAUACCGAAUACGAAUGGAGUGACCAGGUGGGAUUCGCUAGGUGGUGAGGUAAUGGCUCACCAAGGCGACGAUCCCUAGCGGGUCUGAGAGUAUGAUCGGCCAAACUGGAACUGGGACACGGUCCAUACGCCUCCGGGAGGCAGCAGUGGGGAAUAUGGCACAAUGGGGGAAACCCUGAUGCAGCCAUGCCGCGUGUGUGAAGAAGGCCUUCGGGUUGUAAAGCACUUUCAGCGAGGAGGCGUUACUCGCAGAAGAAGCACCGGCUAACUCCGUGCCAGCAGCCGCGGUAAUUC
rnacentral:rRNA from 1 species